rnacentral:lncRNA from 1 species
GGCCAAGUGAGAAAUGCAUGAAUUCUAACCCAAAACUCCUGAGUUUCUGCCACAUGAAUUGCUGUUUCAGAAACUAGUUAUGAAUCAUUUGCAGCCCGACAUCAACUGAAAGACCAGUUAACUUAGUCCUUUAUCUGGAGUCUCCCAAUUCUAAUGUUUUCUUUUCUUUUUUUUUUUAAGAUUUUAUUUAUUUAUUUAUAGAGACACAGAGAGAGAAUGAGAGGCAGAGACACGGCAGAGGGAGAAGCAGGCUCCAUGCAGGGAGCCCAACGUGGGACUCGAUCCAGAGUCUCCAGGAUCACUCCCCGGGCUGCAGGAAGCGCUAAACCACUGCAUCACCGGGGCUGCCCUGGAGUCUCCCAAUUCUAAAUCAAUAAUUUAUGAGAUCCGCAUGCAACUAAGUUAUGUGAACCUGAUGCUCUGCCUCACAGCAAAGCCUUCACAGUGUUCUCAUUUAAGCACACUACGGUGACAAAUAGUGUGGUGGUUGCAGGAACAUAAUCAGGAGUGAUUGCAAUAUUAUCCUUUGUCCAAAGAAGUGUCAUCUAUGCUCAGCCUAAAUAUAUGUAUCUGCCAGCUUUGGAGGUGUUGACUCCAUGGAUCUGGGUGGAACAGGAUUCUCAGACUUCAGGCAGCCCCUCAUUCUCCAGGACUUCGCAGGAGGCUUCCUGAUUUCAGCUGGAUUUGAACCAGGAGGCUGGAGAAGCUGGGAGCUGCCCUGGAUCCUAAGGAUGAAGCUUGCACAGAGAAAGGCAUCCCUGUUGGCGCUGAUUCAUUUUCAUUUGCAUUCUCAAACUCUUCAAUUAGAAAUGCACCGUGAUCCAGCAGACAGUUUUCCUUCCCUCCGCCACAGUGCCGCGUCGCGGUGUGUGCGAGCUUUAGGGGCCCUGUCUGCCUCUGAAUGUCUCAUUUAUAAAAUGAAAAUCCUCUUGGUCUUGAUGCACAUUGGAAUUUUUAUGAACUUCUGCAAAGAGGCUGGCUUGCUAUUUUUUUUUUCAUUUUUGUAAAGUCAGUAUUGUUUUUUAGUGACUUUUUUGUGGGUGGACUUAAAGUUGCAUUUGUUUUCCUUUUUUUUUUUUCAUUUUUAACCAGUGCGUAGGGGAUAUGGCCUGGGCAUCCAACACAGUUUAGGGGCCCUUGGGUGACAAAGUUAAUGGUGAGAUCUCCUUCUCCCGGAAAAUUGACACUGGGGUGAUACUGUGAACUCACAUAUGCUCACUCCCCUUAGCCCAUGUCCCUGGCAGCCACUGAUCCAUCCAUGCUCCAAGUCUGACAUUUUUAGACUAUUACAUAAAUGGUAUCUUUGUGUUUUUGACUCUAGUUUGUGGUUAUGCCUGUUUUCCCAUUUAUGCCCACUUAUUUUCAAACUAUUCUUAACCCUACUUUUACA